GUUUUUCAUCUAACAAUUAACCUAAAAAUAUUUUAUUCAACUGCCUUUUUGCCUCCAGGACCAUAUUUUGAAUUCGAGAACAUGAAAGACCGAAUAAUCUUUUGGCUCAAGAAAGCUUUGUUCAAACUACUGCUCAACAGUCAUCUUUACCACUUGGAGCUAUCACUCGGAGUAAAGAUACUGGGCUAAUAUUUAUGAAGGUAUGCCACAUAGUGCUUUGGGGAAUAAGAUGACGUUGAGGGUGGUUCAGAGGACCAGAUUCCAUUUCCCAAGUUUGGGAAAAGACGUAUAAGAACCUGAGAUUUGAUUCAAAACUUCAAUCCAGAACACCGACUAACAUUGCAAC